rnacentral:lncRNA from 1 species
CCUGCACCUGCAGACCACCUCCAUCUGAAGCUGGAAGAAUUCGGAUAUACUUAUUGACCGAGAGAAGAGUCCAAAACUCAGGAGUGGAAAAUAACGAAGAAUGAAGAAAGGAAACAGGAAGAGGUUGACCUGAUUGAUGGAAAGGAGCUCCUCUUUCUCCAAAACCAGAAGGAAAAGGAAGAUUUAGAGAGCAGAGGAGGGUAAGUUUCCCCCGGAUAAUAUGGGUUCAGUUGCAUAAUACGGCCAGGAUGUUAUCUGCAAAGAAGCUGUGGGGAGGAGAAGGCAGAGCAAGGAGCGCAGGGCUGAGACUGUGGGAGAUGCAGCCGGAAAUGACAAAACAGAAACAAAACGUGACCAAGGCCAUUUGGGGUCCAGCUGAAGUUCAGCGGCUUAGAUGCGUAGUAAGUCCCAUGAGCACUGUUGCACGACUUGCCCACAGCUGUUCACAUAUGGACUUUGCAGCUCACAUUGACUCUGGCCAGGGCGGGAGAGCCGGGGAGCCAGGCAGGUGCGUG